GAGUUUGAUCCUGGCUCAGGACGAACGCUGGCGGCGCGCCUAACACAUGCAAGUCGAACGAGCGAGAGGAGGUUUACUUUCUCGAGCGAGUGGCGAACGGGUGAGUAACGCGUGAGGAACCUGCCUCAAAGAGGGGGACAACAGUUGGAAACGACUGCUAAUACCGCAUAAGCCCACGACCCGGCAUCGGGUAGAGGGAAAAGGAGCAAUCCGCUUUGAGAUGGCCUCGCGUCCGAUUAGCUAGUUGGUGAGGUAACGGCUCACCAAGACUGCGAUCAGUAGCCGGACUGAGAGGUUGAACGGCCACAUUGGGACUGAGAUACGGCCCAGACUCCUACGGGAGGCAGCAGUGGGGAAUAUUGGGCAAUGGGCGAAAGCCUGACCCAGCAACGCCGCGUGAAGGAAGAAGGUCUUCGGAUUGUAAACUUCUUUUAUCAGGGACGAAGUAAGUGACGGUACCUGAUGAAUAAGCCACGGCUAACUACGUGCCAGCAGCCGCGGUAAUAC
rnacentral:rRNA from 1 species